UCCGAUUUGUCGCCGGCAGUCUCCCUAGAGUCCCCGGCAUUAUCCGCUGGCAACAUAGAACGGGGGUUGCGCUCGUUGCGGGACUUAACCCAACAUCACACGACACGAGCUGACGACAGCCAUGCACCACCUGCGCACUGGCCCCGAAGGGCUGCCGUAUUUCUACGGCAUUCCAGUGCAUGUCAAGCCUUGGUAAGGUUCUUCGCGUUGCGUCGAAUUAAACCACAUGCUCCACCGCUUGUGCGGGCCCCCGUCAAUUCCUUUGAGUUUUAGCCUUGCGGCCGUACUCCCCAGGCGGGGCACUUAGUGCGUUAGCGACGGCACGGGAGGAGUCGACACCUCCCACACCUAGUGCCCAUCGUUUACGGCGUGGACUAC
rnacentral:misc_RNA from 1 species